rnacentral:rRNA from 1 species
GAUCAUGGCUCAGGAUGAACGCUAGCUACAGGCUUAACACAUGCAAGUCGAGGGGAAACGAUAUUGGAAGCUUGCUUCCGAUAAGCGUCGACCGGCGCACGGGUGGGUAACGCGUAUCCAACCUGCCCACCACUUGGGGAUAACCUUGCGAAAGUAAGACUAAUACCCAAUGAUAUCUCUAGAAGACAUCUGAAAGAGAUUAAAGAUUUAUCGGUGAUGGAUGGGGAUGCGU